rnacentral:sRNA from 1 species
UGAAUCUUAGCGUGCAAAUGUGCCAGGGU